rnacentral:rRNA from 1 species
AUACGGAGGAUGCAAGCGUUAUCCGGAUUUAUUGGGUUUAAAGGGUGCGUAGGCGGUUUGCUAAGCGGGAGGUGAAAUGCCGGCGCUCAACGUCGGAAGUGCCUCCCGAACUGGUGGACUGGAAUGACUCUGCCGUGGGAGGAAUGUGUAGUGUAGCGGUGAAAUGCUUAGAGAUUACACAGAACACCGAUUGCGAAGGCAUCUCACGAAGGGUUGAUUGACGCUGAGGCACGAAAGCGUGGGGAUCAAACAGGAUUAGAUACCCUGGUAGUCCACGCAGUAAACGAUGAUGGCUAACCGCUGGUUUAUUCGGAUCAGUGGCCAAGCGAAAGCGAUAAGCCAUCCACCUGGGGAGUACGACCGCAAGGUUGAAACUCAAAGGAAUCGGCGGGG